rnacentral:rRNA from 1 species
GUAGGGUGCAAGCGUUAAUCGGAAUUACUGGGCGUAAAGCGUGCGCAGGCGGUUUUGUAAGUCUGAUGUGAAAUCCCCGGGCUCAACCUGGGAAUUGCAUUGGAGACUGCAAGGCUAGAAUCUGGCAGAGGGGGGUAGAAUUCCACGUGUAGCAGUGAAAUGCGUAGAUAUGUGGAGGAACACCGAUGGCGAAGGCAGCCCCCUGGGUCAAGAUUAACGCUCAUGCACGAAAGCGUGGGGGGAGCAAACAGGAUUAGAUACCCUGGUAGUCCACGCCCCUAAACGAUGUCUACUAGUUGUCGGGUCUUAAUUGACUUGGUAACGCAGCUAACGCGUGAAGUAGACCGCCUGGGAGUACGGUCGCAAGAUUA